rnacentral:rRNA from 1 species
AUUGAACGCUGGCGGCAUGCCUUACACAUGCAAGUCGAACGGCAGCGGGGACUUCGGUCCGCCGGCGAGUGGCGAACGGGUGAGUAAUGUAUCGGAACGUACCAUUGAGUGGGGGAUAACUAUCCGAAAGGAUAGCUAAUACCGCAUAUUCUCUCCGGAGGAAAGCAGGGGACCGCAAGGCCUUGCGCUCAUUGAGCGGCCGAUAUCAGAUUAGCUAGUUGGUGGGGUAAAAGCUCACCAAGGCGACGAUCUGUAGCGGGUCUGAGAGGAUGAUCCGCCAAACUGGAACUGAGACACGGUCCAGACUCCUACGGGAGGCAGCAGUGGGGAAUUUUGGACAAUGGGGGCAACCCUGAUCCAGCCAUGCCGCGUGAGUGAAGAAGGCCUUCGGGUUGUAAAGCUCUUUCGGCCGGGAAAAAAUCGCAUGGGCUAAUAUCCUGUGUGGAUGAUGGUACCGGAAUAAGAAGCACCGGCUAACUACGUGCCAGCCGCUGCUGUAAAAC